rnacentral:rRNA from 1 species
UGAACCAGCCAAGUCGCGUGAGGGAAGACGGUCCUACGGAUUGUAAACCUCUUUUGCCGGGGAGCAACGGGGUCCUUGCGAGGGCCCGAUGAGAGUACCCGGAGAAAAGCAUCCGGCUAACUCCGUGCC